rnacentral:rRNA from 1 species
GUGGGGAAUUUUGGACAAUGGGCGCAAGCCUGAUCCAGCAAUGCCGCGUGCAGGAAGAAGGCCUUCGGGUUGUAAACUGCUUUUGUACGGAACGAAACGGUCCUGGUUAAUACCUGGGGCUAAUGACGGUACCGUAAGAAUAAGCACCGGCUAACUACGUGCCAGCAGCCGCGGUAAUACGUAGGGUGCGAGCGUUAAUCGGAAUUACUGGGCGUAAAGCGUGCGCAGGCGGUGCUGUAAGACAGGCGUGAAAUCCCCGGGCUCAACCUGGGAAUUGCGCUUGUGACUGCAGUGCUGGAGUACGGCAGAGGGGGAUGGAAUUCCGCGUGUAGCAGUGAAAUGCGUAGAUAUGCGGAGGAACACCGAUGGCGAAGGCAAUCCCCUGGGCCUGCACUGACGCUCAUGCACGAAAGCGUGGGGAGCAAACAGGAUUAGAUACCCCAGUAGUCC